rnacentral:rRNA from 1 species
AGGAUGAACGCUGGCGGCGUGCCUAAUACAUGCAAGUCGAGCGGUAAGGCCUCUUCGGAGGUACACGAGCGGCGGACGGCUGAGUAACACGUAGGAACGUACCCCAAAGUGAGGCAUAAGCACCAGAAAUGGUGUCUAAUACCGCAUGUGCUCUAAGGAGUAAAGCUUCGGCGCUUUGGGAACGGCCCGCGCAUGAUUAGCUUGUUGGUGAGGUAAUAGCUCACCAAGGCGACGAUCAUUAGCUGGUCUGAGAGGAUGACCAGCCAGACUGGGACUGAGAACGGCCCAGACUCCUACGGAGGCAGCAGUAGGGAAUUUUCCACAAUGGGCGAAAGCCUGAUGGAGCAACGCCGCGUGCAGGAUGAAGGCCUUCGGGUUGUAAACUGCUUUUAUAUGUGACGAAUAUGACGGUAGCAUAUGAAUAAGGAUCGGCUAACUCCGUGCCAGCAGCCGC